UACGUAGGGUGCGAGCGUUGUCCGGAAUUAUUGGGCGUAAAGAGCUCGUAGGCGGUGUGUCGCGUCGGCCGUGAAAACCUGCAGCUUAACUGUGGGCUUGCGGUCGAUACGGGCAUCACUGGAGUUCGGCAGGGGAGACUGGAAUUCCUGGUGUAGCGGUGAAAUGCGCAGAUAUCGAGGAGGAACACCGGUGGCCGAAGGCGGG
rnacentral:rRNA from 1 species